rnacentral:rRNA from 1 species
UACGUAGGGUGCAAGCGUUAAUCGGAAUUACUGGGCGUAAAGCGUGCGCAGGCGGUUUUGUAAGACUGUCGUGAAAUCCCCGGGCUUAACCUAGGAAUGGCGAUGGUGACUGCAAGGCUAGAGUUUGGCAGAGGGGGGUAGAAUUCCACGUGUAGCAGUGAAAUGCGUAGAUAUGUGGAGGAACACCGAUGGCGAAGGCAGCCCCCUGGGUCAAAACUGACGCUCAUGCACGAAAGCGUGGGGAGCAAACAGG